rnacentral:rRNA from 1 species
UACAGGGGGGGCAAGCGUUGUUCGGAAUUACUGGGCGUAAAGGGCUCGUAGGUGGCCAACUAAGUCAGACGUGAAAUCCCUCAGCUUAACUGGGGAACUGCGUCUGAUACUGGAUGGCUUGAGUUUGGGAGAGGGAUGCGGAAUUCCAGGUGUAGCGGUGAAAUGCGCAGAUAUCAGGAGGAACACCGGUGGCGAAGGCGGUGGUCUGGGCCGGUACUGACGCUGAGGAGCGAAAGCGUGGGGAGCGAACAGG